UUUUAGCGGCGGACGGGUGAGUAACGUGUGGGCAACCUGCCUUUUACUGGGGAAUAAUCACUGGAAACGGUGACUAAUACCGCAUAAUAUUCUUGGAAGGCAUCUUCCGAGAAGGAAAGGAAAUAUUCGGUAAAAGAUGGGCCCGCAUCUGAUUAGCUAGUUGGUGAGAUAACAGCCCACCAAGGCGACGAUCAGUAGCCGACCUGAGAGGGUGACCGGCCACAUUGGGACUGAGACACGGCCCAAACUCCUACGGAAGGCAGCAG
rnacentral:rRNA from 1 species